rnacentral:rRNA from 1 species
AGUCGAACGAACCCUUCGGGGUGAGUGGCGCACGGGUGCGUAACGCGUGGGAACCUGCCUUUAGGUUCGGAAUAACUCAGAGAAAUUUGAGCUAAUACCGGAUAAUGUCUUCGGACCAAAGAUUUAUCGCCUUUAGAUGGGCCCGCGUUAGAUUAGAUAGUUGGUGGGGUAAUGGCCUACCAAGUCGACGAUCUAUAGCUGGUCUGAGAGGAUGAUCAGCCACACUGGGACUGAGACACGGCCCAGACUCCUACGGGAGGCAGCAGUGGGGAAUAUUGGACAAUGGGCGAAAGCCUGAUCCAGCAAUGCCGCGUGAGUGAUGAAGGCCUUAGGGUUGUAAAGCUCUUUUACUAGGGAUGAUAAUGACAGUACCUAGAGAAUAAGCUCCGGCUAACUCCGUGCCAGCAGCCGCGGUAAUACGGAGGGAGCUAGCGUUGUUCGGAAUUACUGGGCGUAAAGAGAACGUAGGCGGCUAUCCAAGUCAGGGGUGAAAUCCCGGGGCUCAACCCCGGAACUGCCCUUGAAACUAGGUAGCUAGAAUUCUGGAGAGGUUAGUGGAAUUCCGAGUGUAGAGGUGAAAUUCGUAGAUAUUCGGAAGAACACCAGUGGCGAAGGCGACUGACUGGACAGAUAUUGACGCUGAGGUUCGAAAGCGUGGGGGAGCAAAC